AUGGCGGCGGCGGCUGGCGAUGCGGCGACGAGGCGAAAGACGGCGUGCGUCACCGGCGGCAGCGGGUACAUCGCGUCGGCGCUGGUCAAGAUGCUGCUGGAGAGGGGCUACGCCGUGAAGACCACCGUCAGAAACCCCGAUGACGAGGAGAAGACCGCGCAUCUAAAGGCCCUGGCAGCGCUCGGCCCCUUGGAGGUCUUCCGCGCCGAUCUGAGUGAAGAGGGCAGCUUCGAUCACGCCGUCGCCGGCUGCGACUACGCCUUCCUCGUCGCCGCUCCGGUGGCACUCAUGCCAGAGAAUCCCGAGAAAGACGUGAUCGAGCCGGCCGUCAACGGAACCCUGAACGUGAUGAGGUCGUGCGUGAGAGCCGGGACGGUGAAGCGAGUGGUCCUCACAUCGUCGGUGGCGGCGGUGUCCAGCCGGCCGCUGGAAGGCGACGGCCAUGUCCUUGACGAGGAAUCCUGGUCCGACGUGGAAUUCCUCAGAUCAACAAAGACCGGUCCUUGGGCGUACUCUGUCUCGAAGGUGCUUGUGGAGAAGGCGACGUGCGCGUUCGCGGAGAAGGGCAUCAGCCUGGUCACCGUGUGCCCCGCCGUGACGGUGGGCGAGGCGCCGGCGGCGAACGACCUCACCAGCCUCAGCAUCAUCCUCUCCCUGCUAUCCGGGGAUGAUGCGUACGCCGGCGCCCUGGAACACAUCGAGAGGGCGACGGGGUCGAUCCCAAUGGUGCACAUCGACGACGUCUGCCGAGCGGAGAUACUCGUCGCGGAGGAGGAGGCCGCGUCGGGGAGGUACAUCGUCUGCGGGCUCAACCCCACCGUCGUCGAGCUUGCCCGCUUCUUGCCUGCCAAGUACCCGCAGUACAAGGUCAAUACACAUAGGUUCAGAGAUCUCCCCGAGAAGCCGAGAGUGUGCAUUUCUUCGGCGAAGCUCGUCAAGGAAGGGUUUGAGUACAAGUACAAGAACGUGGAGGAGAUAUACGACAGCGUCGUGGAGUAUGGAAGGGCCUUGGGAAUACUUCCAUACUAA
rnacentral:rRNA from 1 species